rnacentral:rRNA from 1 species
UACGUAGGGAGCAAGCGUUGUCCGGAAUCAUUGGGCGUAAAGCGCGCGUAGGUGGCCCCAUAAGUCCGCUGUGAAAGUCAAAGGCUCAACCUUUGAAAGCCGGUGGAUACUGUGGGACUAGAGUACGGAAGAGGCGAGUGGAAUUCCUGGUGUAGCGGUGGAAUGCGCAGAUAUCAGGAGGAACACCAAUAGCGAAGGCAGCUCGCUGGGACAUUACUGACACUGAGGCGCGAAAGCGUGGGGAGCGAACAGG